CUGGUCCAUGCAGACGUUCAGUUCCACAAGAACAGAGUUUUCCAUCAGGACAUUAAGAUGGAAACUGUCCUGACUGAAGAAGAACUCUGAGAACCACGAGCAUGAGUCAGUGACUUUGGUUGUUGCUGCCUGACAGUCGACGGUUCUUACAAAGAUUUGUUCCUCCAGACUUCAUCCUCCUCUGGAAAUAUGAAGCAGCUCUGAUCACCAUCUGGCAGUUUGUGGUGCUGCUGUUCUACAUCCAGCUCCUCAGCACUAAGGAGGAGGACACAGAGGUGUCCAGGAGAGGGAGACAGAAAAAGAGGUCCCAGGAUGAGGACCUUUUCCACUUCACAGAAAAGGAGCUGGACAGGCUGCUGGAGUGAUGGCAGGGAAACCCCGGCCUGUAGGACAACAGGCGCUGCAACUUUCUGGACAGG